rnacentral:lncRNA from 1 species
UAGAAGGAAGAGAGAAAGGUUCUCUCUUAUGCGUGAGAGAAUUGAGAAGAAAGGGUUCUUCUCUUGAUCUCUUUAUAGAGAUCUGAUGCAUAGAUUCAGAAAGAAAAGGAGAGAGUCUUCUUAUUCUUCAUCUUCAUCAUGUUUCUCUUAGAUCAGCCAAAGCAUGGUGUCUUCGUGAGCUAGUACUCUCAGAGAGAUCGAUUAGCAUGAGGACUUCGUGUGGAUAUCUGUAG